rnacentral:rRNA from 1 species
AACGAACGCUGGCGGCAUGCCUAACACAUGCAAGUCGAACGAGACCUUCGGGUCUAGUGGCACACGGGUGCGUAACGCGUGGGAACCUGCCCUUAGGUUCGGAAUAACUCCCCGAAAGGGGUGCUAAUACCGGAUAAUGUCUUCGGACCAAAGAUUUAUCGCCUUUGGAUGGGCCCGCGUUGGAUUAGCUAGUUGGUAGGGUAAAAGCCUACCAAGGCGACGAUCCAUAGCUGGUCUGAGAGGAUGAUCAGCCACACUGGGACUGAGACACGGCCCAGACUCCUACGGGAGGCAGCAGUGGGGAAUAUUGGACAAUGGGCGAAAGCCUGAUCCAGCAAUGCCGCGCGAGUGAUGAAGGCCUUAGGGUUGUAAAGCUCUUUUACCCGGGAUGAUAAUGACAGUACCGGGAGAAUAAGCUCCGGCUAACUCCGUG